UACAGAGGUCUCAAGCGUUGUUCGGAUUCAUUGGGCGUAAAGGGUGCGUAGGCGGCGCGGUAAGUCGGGUGUGAAAUCUUGGAGCUUAACUCCGAAACUGCAUUCGAUACUGCCGUGCUUGAGGACUGGAGAGGAGACUGGAAUUUACGGUGUAGCGGUGAAAUGCGUGGAGAUCGGGAAGAACACCCGUGGCGAAGGCGGGUCUCUGGACAGUUCCUGACACUGAGGCACGAAGGCCAGGGGAGCAAACGGG
rnacentral:rRNA from 1 species